rnacentral:rRNA from 1 species
UACGGAGGGUGCAAGCGUUGUUCGGAAUUACUGGGCGUAAAGGGCGCGCAGGCGGCCUGCCAAGUCAGAUGUGAAAUGCCAUGGCUUAACCAUAGACGUGCAUUUGAAACUGGUGGGCUUGAGUACCAGAGGGGAAGGUGGAAUUCCCGGUGUAGAGGUGAAAUUCGUAGAUAUCGGGAGGAAUACCGGUGGCGAAGGCGACUUUCUGGCUGGAUACUGACGCUGAGGCGCGAAAGACGUGGGGAGGCAAACAGGAUUAGAUACCCGGGUAGGUCCCU